CCAGACAGCAGAUUCAAAUCCCUCCAAAUGUACCUACAUAUUUAACUUUAUUUUGCUAAAAUACUAAGAGAGGUUUAGGUGAGUGGAGAGUUUAUGAUAUGAUUUCAAAAUUUACAUGAAAGAGCAAGUGGGUUUCCAUGGAGGAAAGUCAGCCCAUGCCCACUCAGACAUCUCUGAAUUUCUAGUCCACAGAACCUGUGAGCAUAUGAAAUUGUUCUGUUUAAUGUCCCUAGGUCUGGGAUGGUUCAGUACUCAGCAGCAGAUAAGUGGAAUGCCCCUCAUUCACAAAGGACACUGGCCUGCUUUCACAACCUUCUUCCAGAUCCUUCUAUCCCUUGGGUGACUUCAGUGUCCCCACAGAUAAACUUUACAGCACUCUUGUCUCCAGCUGCUCACACUCAGUGAUGUCCGUAUGUCGGCCCCCUUAGCUGCCCUCUUUCAGUUUACCAAAGGGCUGGGUUUCCUUGAAAUUGUAAAGACCCUGGGAGGGUUUGGGAUAAGGGACAGAUGAAGGCCUCAUCUGACCACCCCUUCAAACUCCUGCCUGGGGUUGCCCACAGGGAGAACAGUGAGCAGAGCUGCAGUUCACAAGGUCACCAUGGCAACCUAUUGUCCAUCAUAAGGGACAUACCUCAGCAGGGUGGGGUGAAGGUGCAUAAGUAGUGGGGCCAUCACCCCACAGCCAACCACUUGCUACUUGGACCCACAGGGCAGGUAUCAGGUGGCUGCUUGCAGGUGCAAGAUAUAUUGAUUAAAGCGUGAGUAGAGCUGAGGUUGGGAGUGCCGAGGACCCUGAGCACGGGAGGAAGCAGAGGAGGUGUUGGCUUGAGAUGGCCUGAAGUUUAUGGGCCCCAGGAUGCUGGGUCCCAUGUACGCCAUCUUCCUGCUGCUGCUGCUGCCGUCUCCGCUCCUGACCACCAGGAGCACCCCCAACCCCUCCGUCACCCAGGACCAAGGUCACCACCCCAGCUCCAGGCUCCAGGAGAGCCCAGCAGAUGGGGAAUCCUGCUGGAGCACUUACGACCUGUACUUCGUCUUGGACUCAUCACACAGUGUAAAUGACAACUGGGAGUUCACACAGAGCUUUGUGCAGGAUUUGGUGAACAGAUUUAAAAACCCCAAACAGCGUAUGUCGUUCAUCACCUACUCGACACAUGGCCACAUCUACAUGAAGCUGACCUCGAACAGGAAAAAAAUAAACAAUGCUCUUGUCGAAUUGCUCAAUGUACGACCUACCGGAGCCAUAAAUAUGCAGCACGGAUUGGAAAAGGCCAAUGAGCAGAUCGAAAGAACACGAGCUGCAGGAGCGAAGGUACCCAGCCUCAUCAUUGUGCUGACAGGUGAACAACUGCUGGCAGAAUCGUUUGCAGAGACACAAGUUGAAGCUGCAAAAUCCAAGCAGUUGGGGGCAACUCUGUAUUUCGUGGGUGUGCAAAAUUAUCAGCUAUCCCAGCUAUUGGAAAUUGCUGGCGAAGAGGAUCAUGUGUUUGGAGUGGACAGUGGAUACAGUGGACUGGAAGACAUCGUUGACCCACUCAUAGCGAGGUCAUGUGUGCAGGUUACGUCUGUGGAUUUCUCCGCUAUCUGCACUAGAGAUAGAGAUGAAGUCAAGGUUUUUGGAAAAGGUUUUAAAAACAUACAGAAGGAUGAAGUUGUCUGUCAAUUUCGAAUUGGAAAGAAAACCGUAGGAAUAGAGGCUGUAUCUGUGCAAGAUACCUCUGUUACAUGUCCAGGACUGAAGAUAAAUAAUUGGGGCCGGGCCGUCUUCAUCGAUAUCAGCCUGAAUAAUGGCCUCUCCUUUAUCAAGACCGAUUUUGAUGUCAGCAGGAGGAACUGUGUGACUUCCAGGAAGGGGACCCCACCUGCCCUACUGGAUGCCGUAUCACCAACUGCGCAACAACGUGACCUUCCAGAUGCUGUGCCGGGAGACACACAGGAUAUUGGCCCAGAUAUAGGGUCUCCCGGUCCAGUUUUGUUCAAUUUCAACCCUCUCUUCUGCACUUUGCUUCUCCUGAUGCUGUUCUUUAUCCUGCUGAUGUACUGCAUCUGCCGAUGCUGCAUUCAAUGAUGGCUCUCUCCUAAGGGACAGGGAGCGACUCCUUGGUCCUUGAGUUCUCCCAGCAAACAUUGCAGAGUGGCCAGGAAGUGACAGGUGCAGGGCAACAGCUACAGCAUCCCUACCCCAGGAGCUGCCUGCAAGGAAGCAGACACUGUUUCCUCUUUCUAGAGCCUGGCGUCACCAGGACAGAAGUGCCGCACAGUAAUUAUGUCGUGUUGUAAUGAAGGCAAAACUACAAUGCAGACAGGUGAUUCUGCUGUCCCCCUGCUGACGCCCGUCGUGGACCAUCCUGCCGCACACAGCAUCAACCCAGCUGCCAUUGCUCCAUCCCCAGCAGCACGUGCUCAUGGUGCCAGGGUGCCCAACCUGCCCAGCUGAAUGAUGCCACUCAUACCUGCUGCAGCCUGGACGCUCCGGAAAGCCGCCCUGCAACUCUCACCCCAUAACACGAUCUCUACAGCACCAAAACCCCAAUAUUGUUUUUUUUUUAAUUUUGGUAUGAUUAAUAUACACUUAAAUGAGCAACAUUGUGGUUACUAGAUUCCCCCCAUUAUCAAGUCCCCACCACAUACCCCAUUACUGUCACUGUCCAUCAGCAUAGUAAGAUGCUAUAGAGUCACUGCUUGUCUUCUCUGUAAUGUACUGCCUUCCCCGUGCCCACCCCCUACAUUAUGUGUGCUGAUUGUAAUGCCCCUUUUGCCCCUUAUCCCUCCCUUCCCACCCAUCCUCCCCAGUCCCUUUCCCUUUGGUAACUGUUAGUCCAUUCUUGGGUUCUGUGAGUCUGCUGCGUUUUGUUCCUUCAGUUUUUUCUUUGUUCUUAUACUCCACAGAUGAGUGAAAUCAUUUGGUACU